UCCAACAAAUAUCCUCUAUAUAUUGUUUUUCUGUCCUUCUGUUUUGCAGAGAUUCAGCUCUGCGUGCAGCAUGUGGGCAUAUGUGGCUCUGACGUGCACUUCUGGCAGCACGGCUACAUCGGGGACUUUGUGGUGCGCGCACCCAUGGUGUUGGGUCACGAGGCAGCUGGGAACCUCUCUAAACUGGGGGAAGGCGUCACCAACCUUAACAUAGGCUGCCUGAUCAUGUGAGCAUGGAGGAAGGGGCCCUCCUGGAACCGCUGUCAGUCGGGGUGUACGCCUGUCGUAGGGCGGGGUCACACUGGGGAGCAAGGUGCUUGUCUGUGGGGCUGGUCCCAUAGGACUGGUGAACCUGCUAGUGGCCAAGGCCACUGGAGCUUCCCAUGUUUGUGUGACAGGUAAGGCCUACAUUUCAAAUGUGUUUGUGACAGAUGGGGCUUAAAUAAAUGUUGUACCAAUUAAUUUUGACAAAUUAUUAGUAUAAUAGAGACUUGCAUCACAUAAAUGGACCAUGCUCUGUGAAAAGGGGAUAUAAUGCAUGUGCGUAAAGUGUCGUCCUAGACUAGAAUCAGGGACGUAACUUUCUGCCUCAACUGAAUGUUUGCUAAGAAGAGACUUUAAAAAAACAACAACAUAUAAGCGGAAAGUGUCGUCCCUGAUUAGCCUUUACGGACUGCACAGGCUAAUCUUGGAUGACUCUUUAUGCACAUGCAUUGAACCCCCUUUUCACAGAGCAUGUCCCGUAUACUCAAAAACUUUAUGUUUAAUUUGAUUUUGUGUUAUCCUCAAAAAAAGGAAGCCUUGUACAUGCAUACGUGAAAACAGUUUUAAAAAUGCAUUCAAAAUGAUAUAAUAUUCCAUAAUUGUUAAAGUCCUGGAAAAGAAUUGAUCAUACUAAAAGUAUUGACAGAAUGUUUCCAAAAUACAUUCAGACCAGGAAUACACAGUUUUGGUUUAAAAAAUCACCAAAAAAGUCCAUUCCAAGUUGAAUGUUUUUUUUCUUCAAAUUUACAUAAUACAAUUUGACAACGGAUAUCUAUGAGAAGAGGCUGGUCAUGGCCAAGGAGAUGGGAGCAGACUGCGUUGUCAAGGUGACCUCCAAGGACGCCAAGGAAGUCGCAGCACAGGUCAUUGAGGCGCUAGGAGAGAAACCAGACUUCACGAUAGAGUGCAGUGGAGCCCCACCCAGCACACGCCAUAUUUGCAACCAAGUCAGGUGGCUGUGUGGUGCUGGUAGGGAUGGGACCACCCAGUGGAGCUGCCCAUUAUAGAUGCUGCGGUGCGGGAGGUGGACAUUCGAGGAGUGUUCCGAUACGUCAACUGUUAUCCAACAGCCUUGAACAUGGUCGCUUCAGGUAUCUGAAUGCCUCUUACUUCUAAGUUAUAAUAGAUCCCAUAUUGAAACAAGAUUUGAAGAUUGAAUUGAAACUUGAACUACGGUAUGUCAUCACAAUCAAGUGUACUUGAUUGCAAAACUUUUUUUUUCACAAACGGUCGUCCACAUGGUCCUGAGUUAUUUGCCAUUCAACUUUCCCAAUUUUAUUGACAAAGCAUAAGCAUAAAGUUUGUGGAACAAACUCCUACAAUGCUCAAGCCAUGAACGGGGAACCAAAGACAUGUCAUCAUUAU